AACGUUUUGGCCUUUUUGACAGCGUUGGGCGCUGUGAUGCACAUGGGUGAGUUUUUUGUCAACGAAGAAGCCCUUGCUAUGUUCAGGUGCAUCAAGGCUACACAAACAAACGACAAAAAUGCUUCCAACCAAGGCAGAAAGUCAAGUAACUUAUUGGCAUGGGGAUGCUGUUCCUUUGCCAACACCACUGCAGUUUGCUUUUUAUUAUUGUUCUCUCUCAAUAAUGAAACAUUGUUUGUACUAAUUAAUUAACUACAUUUACAGGAAACCCAAAACGAAAAUUCCCAUUACCAAUACUCCUCUUGUUGCCCUGUUCAAUGGACCCAAUUACUAAUUGUGGGGAGCUCAUGAACAUAAAAUUUGGAUUUUGCUGCUCAAAUUGUUGCAAAUGUGAGAGAAGAGUUUCUAUGAGACCAAAUUGUCUGAACAAUUCUUGUGCAGCAAGCCCACUUCUCCCAACAAAGGAUGCAAGCUUAAGGUGCCACGAGUUCUUAAUUAUUAACGUGGGGAGCUCAUGCGUGAACAUAAAAACUUGGAUUUUGUACAAUAAAAUGUGAAUAAACAGUUAAAUUCAUGUUCGAAUUCUCUUGCA